rnacentral:tRNA from 1 species
GUGUGCGUAGCUCAUGAAGCGGUUAGAGCAUCCCUCCGGAUUGAGGCGGUCAUGGGUUCGAAUCCCAUUGCACACA